rnacentral:misc_RNA from 1 species
AGUUUGAGGAGUUCUUGAUAUAUCCAUUUUUGGACAGCCAUGGAGUUGUAUGUUUAAUGAAAUAUUCUUACAUAUGUUUGAUGAGAAUUCAUGUUGAAUAGGGUGAAUUGAUGUCCUAGUAAGUUAUUUCCAUAUGUAAUGGUGAUUAUGCAUUUGAAAUUGAAGUUGAAGAAAGUAUGUGAAACUUUGGCAUUGUGGAACAAUUCGGCAGCUUUGAGACUUCAUGAUGAAUGUAUGAAUUCAUGAAGAUAUUGGCAGAAUUAUGACAUUGAGGAUUGAUGGAUAUGUAUAUAAAUUAGUUGUGGAAAUUGUAUGAAAUAAUGAGUAGUGUUUAUGUGUAUUUGUGGUUGUAUUUGGACUUUGUAAAUUAGAGUUUUUAUUUGGUGUGUUAAGGAUGUUUGUAAUCUGCCCA